AUACGUAGGUGGCAAGCGUUGUCCGGAAUUAUUGGGCGUAAAGCGCGCGCAGGUGGUUCCUUAAGUCUGAUGUGAAAGCCCCCGGCUCAACCGGGGAGGGUCAUUGGAAACUGGGGAACUUGAGUGCAGAAGAGGAUAGUGGAAUUCCAAGUGUAGCGGUGAAAUGGGUAGAGAUUUGGAGGAACACCAGUGGCGAAGGCGACUUUCUGUGCUGUAACUGGCGCUGAGGCGCCAAAGCGUGCGGAGAAAACAGAAUUAUAUCCCCUGGGUGCCCACGCCGUAACCGAUGAGUUCUAAGUGUUGGGGGGUUUCCGCCCCGCAGUGCUGCAGCUAACGCAUUACGCACUACGCCUGGGGAGUUAGGUCGUAAGACGGAGACUGAAAGGAAUUGACGGGG
rnacentral:rRNA from 1 species